rnacentral:rRNA from 1 species
UACGUAGGGUGCGAGCGUUGUCCGGAAUUACUGGGCGUAAAGAGCUCGUAGGUGGUUUGUCGCGUUGUUCGUGAAAACCUGAGGCUUAACCUUGGGCGUGCGGGCGAUACGGGCAGACUAGAGUACUGCAGGGGAGACUGGAAUUCCUGGUGUAGCGGUGGAAUGCGCAGAUAUCAGGAGGAACACCGGUGGCGAAGGCGGGUCUCUGGGCAGUAACUGACGCUGAGGAGCGAAAGCGUGGGGAGCGAAC